CGUGAUUUGGGCUAUAUUACGGGGAGGAAAUUAUAUGUUCGGACAUUGUUUUCCAAUAUUUUGCAUGUAUCCAAGCUCUUAUAUAAAGAUAGGGUAUUCCUACAUAUCUGGUGGGACCCACGGCAAAUGGAUCAUAAAAUCUUCAAAAAAGAAUAGAUACGAUUGCAUUGCAUGUAGUACCAGAUGCGAUCAUACCAACAAUAAUGCACCGGAUGCAAUCAGAACUCCGCAGUUAAGUGUGCUUCGGCGAGAGUUGUACUAGGAUGGGUGACCUCCAGGAAAGUCCUCGUGUUACAUCCCUCUUUUUUUCCGUUUUUCUCUUCUUUUUUUGUUAAAAAUGUAUGACUCUAUAACUUUUAGACCGUGAGGCCAAACUUAGCAUGUGAUACCUUUUCAGAAAGCGGCUAAGAGAGCUCUCCCACUGAAUGAGGAAGGAAANUGGAAUUCUAUAUUUU
rnacentral:rRNA from 1 species